CCAAUUUUCAUGUUUAAUAAAAGCCCAAUUGUCUGUGGUGUAAGAAUUGUGAGUUAAUAUAAAGUUACAGAAAAAUCAGUUGUUAAGCUUAUAGGUAAAAGUGCAAAAACAAUUUUGGAGUCUUAGAUAUUAUUUUUUUCAAACAAAAAGCCUAUAUGCAGGGAUCAUUUGAUAGAAAUUUUUAAAAUUGUUUCACAUUAAUGUUACAAUGUGACACUGUUAUAUUGUAUUACUUUAGAGUUUUUAUUAUUAUUUUAAUAAAGUAGUAAUAGGUAAGUUUUUUUUAAUUUAGUUAAAAUGAAAUAUAAUAGUUUAUACAAGGUAAAUAAUAUAAUACCUAAUAUAUAUACAGUGUAUCCCACUGUGUUUUUCACAUUUUUCUAGUGCUGUUAAUAAUACAUUUUUGAUACUUUUAAAUAUUAUACACUUGAUUUAUUUUUUUUUUACGUUAGAAAUAAAAUAACGACAGAAGCCUUGUCAGAAUUAAUAUAAUAAUUGAUAGUUAUUUCUGGCUUUGUCGGUUGUGAUGGCAGUGGUAAAAAUAUUAUUUGAUAAGACAGUGCACGAGUUAUUAUUUCUCCAAAAUGUGGAGUAUUUUUACAUUCGUUUGGUAAAUAAAAUAAUUUAUUGCAAUUUUAAGUCCAAUUUUGGAUAUGUUUUACUACAAUAAUGCAAUCAAUUUGAAUGCUCUUUUAGUGCAAUAACUUAAUUAUGACAUACAAAUAAAUAAAUAAAUGGAUUUGAAUCCUCAUUUAACUGCCUUAUUUUAGGAAUGGUUGUAUCAAAUUCUUCUCAACAGAUUGCUUUACCUACUCAGGACCCGAUUUUUAACAGUAUUUCUGCUAUACUUGAACAAUCUAACACCAUAGGUUAAGGAGGUUUGUGAAGUAACUAUUUGUAUGGACAAUGUAGCGCUCUCAGGGGCCAUA